GGCCAUUCGCCAAUAGGAGAACAGAAGAUCAAGUGUAGUAUCUGUUCUUUAUCAGUUUAAUAUCUGAUACCUGGGGCAUUGGCCUGCGUGGUAUUAAAUUAAUAUUUCAAGGGAAGGUCAAGCCCAUGGCAGCUUGCUGCCCGGGUCUCCAGCGCCGCCUUGUCUUGCAAAACCGCCUGGGCCUGGCACGCCCCUCC